rnacentral:rRNA from 1 species
CAUCGCCCACGCCUUAAUCUCCCUGAACGUGAAGUUCAGUAUAUCAAGGAAAUACAGCAUCGGCGCGUUCUUGAAGUUCCCGUCCCGCCCAUCAAGCCAUUCCUUAUACACCUCGUCGGUGAUCAUGUUGCGCUUGCGGAACUGGUGCAUGAUGUGCUCGCGGUUCGGGUCGAGGUUCAAGAACAUCUUGAGCGUUUCGGCGCGGUC